UUAAUCUUUUUAGUCACACAGCACUACUAUUAUUCUGAACACUACUGUACGCAAGAAUGGAUGAAUUAUCCUAAAGCCCCUGCUGCUUCAGAUAGAAAAACUGAUAGAAAUGCAGCCCUUUGACAUGAUGGGAUCAAGCAGUAAGCUUCAACGGGCUCGAAGGACAAAGAAGCCCACCUGGAAGAAGGAAACAUGGCAGUUCCUUAACUGACCACUUGAAGCUCGCUGCAAAAGUGAGCAAGUUCCCAUUCAAGUCAAUGUUAAAAUGUCCAACUUUAGAGCAGAAAUAAAAAUGUUUACAGACU